UCCUCAGGAUUGGCUCGUUUGAGU
rnacentral:siRNA from 1 species